GAUCCCCAUCACAAGUAGGAGAGAGUUAGCAUCCCAGCUGCUAGCCUCUCAUCCAAGGCUCCUGCUGCAGACAGCAGUGUCCUUGGAGUCUAGUUCAAAGCUGGAGAAAGUGAACCCUGGAGCUGGGAGCCACUGGUGGAGGGGCCGGCCUGAAGGAAGUGAAGUGUUUCAGCCAGAAUGUACUGACGCACGACCAGGAAACCACAGACUAAGGAACUGCCAGUUGCCAUGGAAUAAAUCACAUCAUCAUAUAGCUGAGACUAGCAAGGUAACUGAACCAUGUCCUGAGAACUAAAUGAUGGAGAAAUUGGACUGACCAUGGAGCACUUCAAACUGAUGGCUUAGUAAUGGGGUAUUUUUCCUGGAAAGAACAGAAUAAUUCUGCACUAUUGAUUCUGUCAAGGGUACAGGCUCCCAUGUAGAGGAAAAUAAAGCAAGUGUAAUGAACUUCUCA